CUUGAGUUUAGCUCCACGGAGCAAACCAAACCAGGAAGUAACAGGACCAGGUGUCUGAUUGACAGCCAAGGUUCAUUUAUAAAUGUGUACAUUUCUAUUGAAAUCUACACUUUUAGUAAAAUAUAUUUUUAUAAAGUACUUUAGUGGUCUGGAGUGUUAGUUUAACAUUAACAUAUAAGAUAGCGAAUACAGAGAUUUUUUCUCUGUAAAGUAGGGGCGUGAGAAAACCUGGGAUAUUUUGAAAGUGCCGCACAUUACAAUAUGAUCGUGUCCAAACACAGGAUAUAUGCAAUGCCCUGAUUGUCAACUCUGUAUGCUGUGACACCCGGAUUGCGGAAGAGUUGUAACAUUCCAUUGAAUUUCUCACGAGAUCUCUGUGGUUGGUUGGGCUUGCACACAGAAAC